rnacentral:rRNA from 1 species
GAUGAACGCUGGCGGCGUGCCUAAUACAUGCCAGUCGAGCGAACAGACGAGGAGCUUGCUCCUCUGACGUUGCGGCGGACGGGUGAGUAACACGUGGAUAACCUACCUAUAAGACUGGGAUAACUUCGGGAAACCGGAGCUAAUACCGGAUAAUAUAUUGAACCGCAUGGUUCAAUAGUGAAAGACGGUUUUGCUGUCACUUAUAGAUGGAUCCGCGCCGCAUUAGCUAGUUGGUAAGGUAACGGCUUACCAAGGCAACGAUGCGUAGCCGACCUGAGAGGGUGAUCGGCCACACUGGAACUGAGACACGGUCCAGACUCCUACGGGAGGCAGCAGUAGGGAAUCUUCCGCAAUGGGCGAAAGCUUGACGGAGCAACGCCGCGUGAGUGAUGAAGGUCUUCGGAUCGUAAAACUCUGUUAUUAGGGAAGAACAAAUGUGUAAGUAACUAUGCACGUCUUGACGGUACCUAAUCAGAAAGCCACGGCUAACUACGUG